rnacentral:rRNA from 1 species
MGAGUUUGAUCCYGGCUCAGGACGAACGCUGGCGGCMCGCUUAAAACAUGCAAGUCGAACGUGAAGCCCGGGCUUGCCCGGGUGGAAAGUGGCGAACGGGUGCGUAACACGUGAGCAACCUGCCCCGAAGACCGGGAUAACACCGGGAAACCGGUGCUAAUACCGGAUGCCUUCACCAUGUCGCAUGGCGAGGUGAAGAAAUGGAUUCCGCUUCGGGAUGGGCUCGCGGCCUAUCAGCUUGUUGGUGGGGUAACGGCCUACCAAGGCAACGACGGGUAGCUGGUCUGAGAGGAUGUCCAGCCACACUGGGACUGAGACACGGCCCAGACUCCUACGGGAGGCAGCAGUUAGGAAUCUUGCGCAAUGGGCGAAAGCCUGACGCAGCGAUGCCGCGUGCGGGAUGAAGGCCUUCGGGUCGUAAACCGCUUUCAGCAGGGACGAUGAUGACGGUACCUGCAGAAGAAGCCCCGGCCAACUACGUGCCAGCAGCCGCGGUAAUACA